GGGUUGUGAGGUUAAGCGACUAAGCGUACACGGUGGAUGCCCUGGCAGUCAGAGGCGAUGAAGGACGUGCUAAUCUGCGAUAAGCGUCGGUAAGGUGAUAUGAACCGUUAUAACCGGCGAUUUCCGAAUGGGGAAACCCAGUGUGUUUCGACACACUAUCAUUAACUGAAUCCAUAGGUUAAUGAGGCGAACCGGGGGAACUGAAACAUCUAAGUACCCCGAGGAAAAGAAAUCAACCGAGAUUCCCCCAGUAGCGGCGAGCGAACGGGGAGCAGCCCAGAGCCUGAAUCAGUGUGUGUGUUAGUGGAAGCGUCUGGAAAGGCGCGCGAUACAGGGUGACAGCCCCGUACACAAAAAUGCACAUGCUGUGAGCUCGAUGAGUAGGGCGGGACACGUGGUAUCCUGUCUGAAUAUGGGGGGACCAUCCUCCAAGGCUAAAUACUCCUGACUGACCGAUAGUGAACCAGUACCGUGAGGGAAAGGCGAAAAGAACCCCGGCGAGGGGAGUGAAAAAGAACCUGAAACCGUGUACGUACAAGCAGUGGGAGCACGCUUAGGCGUGUGACUGCGUACCUUUUGUAUAAUGGGUCAGCGACUUAUAUUCUGUAGCAAGGUUAACCGAAUAGGGGAGCCGAAGGGAAACCGAGUCUUAACUGGGCGUUAAGUUGCAGGGUAUAGACCCGAAACCCGGUGAUCUAGCCAUGGGCAGGUUGAAGGUUGGGUAACACUAACUGGAGGGCCGAACCGACUAAUGUUGAAAAAUUAGCGGAUGACUUGUGGCUGGGGGUGAAAGGCCAAUCAAACCGGGAGAUAGCUGGUUCUCCCCGAAAGCUAUUUAGGUAGCGCCUCGUGAAUUCAUCUCCGGGGGUAGAGCACUGUUUCGGCAAGGGGGUCAUCCCGACUUACCAACCCGAUGCAAACUGCGAAUACCGGAGAAUGUUAUCACGGGAGACACACGGCGGGUGCUAACGUCCGUCGUGAAGAGGGAAACAACCCAGACCGCCAGCUAAGGUCCCAAAGUCAUGGUUAAGUGGGAAACGAUGUGGGAAGGCCCAGACAGCCAGGAUGUUGGCUUAGAAGCAGCCAUCAUUUAAAGAAAGCGUAAUAGCUCACUGGUCGAGUCGGCCUGCGCGGAAGAUGUAACGGGGCUAAACCAUGCACCGAAGCUGCGGCAGCGACGCUUAUGCGUUGUUGGGUAGGGGAGCGUUCUGUAAGCCUGUGAAGGUGUGCUGUGAGGCAUGCUGGAGGUAUCAGAAGUGCGAAUGCUGACAUAAGUAACGAUAAAGCGGGUGAAAAGCCCGCUCGCCGGAAGACCAAGGGUUCCUGUCCAACGUUAAUCGGGGCAGGGUGAGUCGACCCCUAAGGCGAGGCCGAAAGGCGUAGUCGAUGGGAAACAGGUUAAUAUUCCUGUACUUGGUGUUACUGCGAAGGGGGGACGGAGAAGGCUAUGUUGGCCGGGCGACGGUUGUCCCGGUUUAAGCGUGUAGGCUGGUUUUCCAGGCAAAUCCGGAAAAUCAAGGCUGAGGCGUGAUGACGAGGCACUACGGUGCUGAAGCAACAAAUGCCCUGCUUCCAGGAAAAGCCUCUAAGCAUCAGGUAACAUCAAAUCGUACCCCAAACCGACACAGGUGGUCAGGUAGAGAAUACCAAGGCGCUUGAGAGAACUCGGGUGAAGGAACUAGGCAAAAUGGUGCCGUAACUUCGGGAGAAGGCACGCUGAUAUGUAGGUGAAGUCCCUCGCGGAUGGAGCUGAAAUCAGUCGAAGAUACCAGCUGGCUGCAACUGUUUAUUAAAAACACAGCACUGUGCAAACACGAAAGUGGACGUAUACGGUGUGACGCCUGCCCGGUGCCGGAAGGUUAAUUGAUGGGGUCAGCGCAAGCGAAGCUCUUGAUCGAAGCCCCGGUAAACGGCGGCCGUAACUAUAACGGUCCUAAGGUAGCGAAAUUCCUUGUCGGGUAAGUUCCGACCUGCACGAAUGGCGUAAUGAUGGCCAGGCUGUCUCCACCCGAGACUCAGUGAAAUUGAACUCGCUGUGAAGAUGCAGUGUACCCGCGGCAAGACGGAAAGACCCCGUGAACCUUUACUAUAGCUUGACACUGAACAUUGAGCCUUGAUGUGUAGGAUAGGUGGGAGGCUUAGAAGUGUGGACGCCAGUCUGCAUGGAGCCGACCUUGAAAUACCACCCUUUAAUGUUUGAUGUUCUAACGUUGACCCGUAAUCCGGGUUGCGGACAGUGUCUGGUGGGUAGUUUGACUGGGGCGGUCUCCUCCUAAAGAGUAACGGAGGAGCACGAAGGUUGGCUAAUCCUGGUCGGACAUCAGGAGGUUAGUGCAAUGGCAUAAGCCAGCUUGACUGCGAGCGUGACGGCGCGAGCAGGUGCGAAAGCAGGUCAUAGUGAUCCGGUGGUUCUGAAUGGAAGGGCCAUCGCUCAACGGAUAAAAGGUACUCCGGGGAUAACAGGCUGAUACCGCCCAAGAGUUCAUAUCGACGGCGGUGUUUGGCACCUCGAUGUCGGCUCAUCACAUCCUGGGGCUGAAGUAGGUCCCAAGGGUAUGGCUGUUCGCCAUUUAAAGUGGUACGCGAGCUGGGUUUAGAACGUCGUGAGACAGUUCGGUCCCUAUCUGCCGUGGGCGCUGGAGAACUGAGGGGGGCUGCUCCUAGUACGAGAGGACCGGAGUGGACGCAUCACUGGUGUUCGGGUUGUCAUGCCAAUGGCACUGCCCGGUAGCUAAAUGCGGAAGAGAUAAGUGCUGAAAGCAUCUAAGCACGAAACUUGCCCCGAGAUGAGUUCUCCCUGACCCUUUAAGGGUCCUGAAGGAACGUUGAAGACGACGACGUUGAUAGGCCGGGUGUGUAAGCGCAGCGAUGCGUUGAGCUAACCGGUACUAAUGAACCGUGAGGCUUAACCUUACAACGCCGAAGCUGUU
rnacentral:rRNA from 1 species